GCAUCCUUAGCUCAGUUGGUAGAGCAACUGACUCUUAAUCAGUGGGUCCAGAGUUCGAAUCUCUGAGGAUGUA
rnacentral:tRNA from 1 species